ACCUGGGAAGAAGGGCCAGGAUGAGCCAGUAAGAAGCCUGACCAUGAGGCAAGAAUGUUGUUCCUUAACUGUACCUUCUUGGUAGUAGGCUGUGGGAUAACGGAGAGAUACCACAUCUCAGCUGAAAUAGCUUAUGGCUUUCUACUGAAAAGUGAACAUUCCAUGGACCCAUGUUUUGGAAGAACAUAAGUAUCCACCUAGAACAAUGCAGGAAGACCCUAUGAUGUCAGAAUUGCUCCUCUCUAUUGCCUGAGAAGUCAAGAUUCAUUCCUGUGUUUUGAAGAGGUCAUCCACAGUCUGAAGCAUCCCACAUCAUGUUUAUCAUUUCAGCGCAGCUGGGCUUCUUUGCCACUUGCACACAUUUUCAAAAUGGACUGUAAAAACUGGCAAAUGUGGAAACCUGUUUAAAAGCUCUGACCUCAAGCCCAUCAGGAGUUCUUACAGCUAUUUUUAUUGAAUCCUGAAAAUGAAAUUUCCAAGCGAAAUUCUUCCAACAGAAGAAACAGUCAUUUUGCUAAGAGAACGAAGUAAUUAAAAUAUGCAAAUUUGGAGUUAUAGUACAGAUUAUUUAGGUUAUAAUAGUACAUACUAUAGAGGAUUUCAUAUGUGGAACAAAGUUUUAAGAAGCUCUUAAAAGAAAUACUAUUCUUCCUUUCCCAUGCAAAGUCCCCUGGAGCUUCUGCAGUUAUUGGGAGUUCCUUAAAUCAUAGCAUUGAGACUCUCUAUUAAGGAAUACACAAAUUCAAAUCUUUACAAUUCUAACUUUUCCCUAAUUAUCUUUACAGCAGCAUUCAUAGCGUGGGGAAUACAGUAAACUGUGUGGUAACGUUAAUUAUGUGCAAAUGGCAAUUGUAAAGGUUUUAAUAGUGACCUCUGCAACUAGAAACCUUAUUGAUCAUUUCUAUAUAUAUAAUGACAUAGUGCUGGCUAAAACACCAAAAUCCUAGCCUGGCUUGUACCAAAGUCUAUGUAAAACCUGGACUGGACUCCUGAGGAGAAAAAUCUUGUUUGGGUGCAUCUCAAAAAAUGGUAAAUAUUCCCCCCUUUCCCUCAAUAAACUGAAAUGUUAAAAGCUAAA